rnacentral:rRNA from 1 species
UACGGAGGGUGCAAGCGUUAUCCGGAAUCACUGGGCGUAAAGGGCGCGUAGGUGGUCUGUUAAGUCUGGCGUUAAAGCCUGGGGCUCAACCCCAGAUCAGCGUUGGAUACUGGCAGGCUAGACGGUUGGAGAGGCGAGUGGAAUUACCAGUGUAGCGGUGGAAUGCGUAGAUACUGGUAGGAACACCCAUUGCGAAGGCAGCUCGCUGGACAACACGUGACACUGAGGCGCGAAAGUGUGGGGAGCAAACCGGAUUAGAUAU